ensembl:misc_RNA 7SK 7SK RNA
GAAAGAGCUGGGGCAUCUGUCACCCCAUUGAUCUCCAGGGUUGAUUUGGCUGAUCUGGCUGGCUAGGUGGGUGUCCCCUUCCUCCCUCAAAGCUCCAUGUGCGUCCCCCCAGAAGCUGCAUGCUCAGUCGAAGAGGACGACCUUCCCCGAAGACCUUCGGGUCAAGGGUAUACGAGUAGCUGUGCUCCCCUGCUACAACCUGAAACAAGCUCUCAAGAAAAUCAUAGCUUUUUAACUUUCUUAUACUCUGAUACAUGUUCAAAAAUGUAAGAUUUUUGCUUCAAUAGAAAUAACAAACAGUUAUUAGGGAAUUGCCUAUAUCA